rnacentral:rRNA from 1 species
UACGGAGGAUGCAAGCGUUAUCCGGAAUGAUUGGGCGUAAAGCGUCCGCAGGUGGCUAUGUAAGUCUGCUGUUAAAGAGUGAGGCUCAACCUCAUAAGAGCAGUGGAAACUACAUGGCUAGAGUGCGUUCGGGGCAGAGGGAAUUCCUGGUGUAGCGGUGAAAUGCGUAGAUAUCAGGAAGAACACCGGUGGCGAAAGCGCUCUGCUAGGCCGCAACUGACACUGAGGGACGAAAGCUAGGGGAGCGAACGGG